rnacentral:rRNA from 1 species
GUACGCGAGCUGGGUUUAGAACGUCGUGAGACAGUUCGGUCCCUAUCUGCCGUGGGCGCUGGAGAACUGAGGGGGGCUGCUCCUAGUACGAGAGGACCGGAGUGGACGCAUCACUGGUGUUCGGGUUGUCAUGCCAAUGGCACUGCCCGGUAGCUAAAUGCGGAAGAGAUAAGUGCUGAAAGCAUCUAAGCACGAAACUUGCCCCGAGAUGAGUUCUCCCUGAGACUUUAAGUCUCCUGAAGGAACGUUGAAGACGACGACGUUGAUAGGCCGGGUGUGUAAGCGCAGCGAUGCGUUGAGCUAACCGGUACUAAUGAACCGUGAGGCUUAACCUUACAACGCCGAAG